GACGAACGCUGGCGGCGUGCCUAAUACAUGCAAGUCGAACGCAGUGGGGACGGGUGAGUAACACGUGGGUAACCUCCCAUCAGAGGGGAUAACACUUGGAAACAGGUGCUAAACCGAUACUGAUGGAUGGACCCGCGGUGCAUUGGCUAGGUGGGGAGGUAACGGGGCACCAAGGCGACGAUGCGUAGCCUACCGGAGAGGGUGGUCGGCCACACGGGGACGGAGACACGGCCCAGACUCCUAGGGGAGGCAGCAGGAGGGAAUCUGCGGCAAUGGACGAAAGUCUGACCGAGCAACGCCGCGUGAGUGAAGAAGGUUUUCGGAUCGUAAAACUCUUUUGUUAGAGAAGCGGUAUCUAACCAGAAAGCCACGGCUAACUACGUGCCAGCAGCCGCGGUAAUUC
rnacentral:rRNA from 1 species